rnacentral:lncRNA from 1 species
CUUGAGGUAGUUCUUUACAUCUUUCCUUCAUCUGAACAGGGGUAUCUGCAUCUUGAUGGAUUUGAUGUCAUCAUCUUCUCUGGACUUCUCUUCAAUUGACUUCAUUAUUGUCGCCAUGAGACUCAUCAUUAUCUUGGCAGUGUAGGUGUCUAGGAUGGCUACGGUUCCAUCCUAUAUGUCUGUCAUUCAUCUUUGUUAUUAUACCUUCAAUGGCUAAGCUUAGUCUGUUGUAAAUAUCAUCCAUCCUAGCCUCCAUG